GCCCUGUGAUUUCACUUUAUUCUGAAUAGAGCACGCAGAACCAAGGAUGAGAUCAUCGGGCUUCUUUCUUCUGUAUGUCUUCACGGGCGCCUCGUGUUUCGCAUCUGGGUACGAAAACGUAGAAUAUGUGAACAGAUGCAGACGGUUUUUCCUGAAGACUUCAGCGG
rnacentral:lncRNA from 1 species